GACGAACCGUCCUAACGUUGUUCGGAAUCACUGGGCUUAAAGGGCGCGUAGGCGGCUUGCCAAGUCAGGGGUGAAAUCCUGCAGCUUAACUGUAGAAGGGCCUUUGAUACUGGCGAGCUCGAGGGAGGUAGGGGUAUGUGGAACUUCCGGUGGAGCGGUGAAAUGCGUUGAUAUCGGAAGGAACGCCGGUGGCGAAAGCGGCUUCCUGGACACCAACUGACGCUGAGACGCGAAAGCGUGGGGAGCAAACAGGAUUGAGAAACCCCG
rnacentral:rRNA from 1 species